rnacentral:rRNA from 1 species
UACUCGAGUGGCGAACGGGUGAGUAACACGUGGGUGAUCUGCCCUGCACUCUGGGAUAAGCCUGGGAAACUGGGUCUAAUACCCGAUAGGACCAUGCUUUAGUGUGUGUGGUGGAAAGUUUUUUCGGUGUAGGAUGAGCCCGCGGCCUAUCAGCUUGUUGGUGGGGUAAUGGCCUACCAAGGCGGCGACGGGUAGCCGGACUGAGAGGUUGGUCGGCCACAUUGGGACUGAGAUACGGCCCAG